CAACAUCUUGUCCAAUGGCAUGUCUGAUCCAGGAAUCAUUCUUCGUACAGCGAGUUCUUUUGUCCCUGGUUCAUGACAUCGGUCUUGUGUGCAGUAUUGUUCUGUGUUUCGUGUCUGGCUGGAGAUGCUCUGCCCGAUGCAUGGAGGUGGUAAGAGCGAGUAGAGGUAGAAGGGCAAGAUUCUGUGGUUAAUAUGCUGAUAUGCUUAAACCAUUCAGUUUAGGGGCAUACCAUACGUUGCAGAAGAAGUAGCCCUAGGUGCAGUGGGUGAGGAGAGCAGUUUCUGCUUGGCUCUGCAGCCACAGAGGGGAUGACCAAAAGUGUGCGGGAGAAUCCAGUGGAGUGGUAACGGAGCAGUUUAAAUUCAAAGGGAUUGGGACGUAAUGUUUGGGUUUGGUUGUUGACUUGUGCUUGGCUGUAUUGUGCAGUAGAGAUGGUAUUGCUAAAUGGAAGUGAGAGGUCUGGAACCGUUAAGGUGUCACUGAAUGUCUGAGUGACUACUUUGAUAUUGUGUUUUUCAGAUGCAGAGGGACAACUGGUGUACCAAAAACUGCUGAUGGAGUUGCAGGUGGAGUGCCAUAGGGAGGUGGAGACCAAGCCUCACCAUGGCAGCCUGAGAUGAUGGAUGCUGGGCAGGAGAGCGGUCAAGGAAACAUAACAGGAGAUGGGUAUUGCUGGGGGCAGCCUCUGCUUUGCGUUAGUAUCUUAAGUACCUCUCUUCUUUUGCAGGUGCCACAUACAGCCUCAGAGGAGUUGAGCUUCAUGCUGAAAAAUGGUUUGAGAGGCGCUGCGCAGGCCGCCUUUGCAAUGGGAAGAGCAGUUGAGGUGAGCCGGGUAGUGGGGAGAAGGAGCAU